GUGGAAGAUACAAUGAAAGAGGUACUUCUGCCUAUCCACCACGAGCAGUAGAAGCAGGGCUUCUAUGUAUGUGGUUGACAGACAAAAAAGGGCCUCUCGAAUAAAACCAAGUGGAACAGCUGAUAUAGCUACACAGCUGUCGUUCCCAUUCCUACAUUAGACAUUGCCAUCGUUGUCUGUUUUUCUCCUCGUUCACACAUUGGCCACAUGGCACCAUUGGAAGAAUGGUCUUAUCUUUGUUCAAUCAAGCCAAAGUCAUGGGGCCCAGGGCCUCGUGGAAAAUGUAGUUUUCUUCUGAUUAGAUGUGCUUCUUUCAUGAUAGGAGGAUAAUGCCAUCUGGGAGGCCAUGGGAUACAACACCUAAAUGAUGUUGAAGGUGCCUACUGCUUCUCUACUCGUUUCUGGGAUUGCUUGUUGGUACAGAGGUUUGGGGAAGUGAAGUUGACUUUAUCCUCUACAUUCAAGAGCCUGAACCACCCAACAGAGACAGUGGUAACCAGGAGUCUUGUUAUAAUUCUAGCCAGCUGAAUGUUCACUUCAUGUGGGGAGCAGUGGCCCUUGAUGUUAUUAUGCUGGGAUAGAGAAGGACCAUCUUUCUUCAUCUCUUGCUGAAAAUACAUCAUCUGAAAAAUGCAUCAAAGAGGGUCAACAGCCAGAAGAGAGAUGGAGCCACAAAAUAACACUCUCAGCCAAGAAUAUAACCACUGAAAACUCAGAAGAAUGCAUGAAGAUAAAAAAGAAGAGAAACAAAAGCAAAGAAAGGCCAGAUCAAAUGAAAAAACAGCCACAGGGUUUCUUCAUCUCUAUGUAAUGGACACUGGCCAGUGAGUUCUAAGUAGUGAAAGCACACACAGCGGACCCAGGUGGAUGUUUGAUUAGCCUGAUUCUGAAAAUUUGUGAAGAUACGAAUGGAGGUGCCUAGCUAUCCACUUCAGAGCAUGCACAGGGCCUUGUGAGACCUAGAAAGAUCCAGGAACUGGAAUCCAUGCCAGAGUUGGCUGGCAGUCAAGCCCAUUGAGGAUACCCAGGCCAGAAGUACAUCAAUGGAAGCCAAAGUGUCAUUCUAUGGCCCGGGAACAGCUUGUCCAGCAGCCAUGUCACACAUGGAAGUGAAUUUGCUGAGGUCAAUGUUUCAUAGCAACUGAUUUUUAAUUUGAGCCCACUCUUCUGCAGGAAACACGGUGGUAAAGGGGUGAAUGAGUCCCAGUUUUAGUAGGGAUAUUUUAUGCUGUGGUUUGGGCUAUAUUCUU